GGUGAGGGAGGGGCUGGAGAGGAGAGAAUGGGGGAAAUGAUGUAAGUAUAAUACUCGCAUAUAAAAUUUUCAAAAAAUAAAUUAGACCGUUAUUAUUGUUAUCCUUAUAAAAGUCUUUCAUCCAGCUUGAAGUGUAAUUGGCAAAUACAGAUCACACACAUAUUCAAGGCCUACCGCAUGUCAAUCUGACAAACACUGGCAAGUGUCCUUGAUUUCGGAAUGGAACGAAAUGACAGAACAGACUUAAACAUUAUUUUUUUUUAAUCUAGGAGCUCCUCUUCUUAUCCACCCACCCCUCGCCCACCCCCAAAGUAUGCUCCGUGCUCUCCUCAGAUCUGACUAAAAUUACUUCCUACAGCUGAACACCAGAUUCUAAAUGUCACCUCGGAAGACUAGGAGACCAUCUAUUUCCUAUUUAUUGCAAAUAUUGUCUGGUGUUCUGCAUCUAAAGAAUACUCUUGAUUAGGAAGGCCCUUCCUUUUGUUCCCAGCUUCUAAAAAUAUAAAGGCUAUCACAAAAUAUGAAAUAGAACCCUAGUACGGAUGACACAAAUCUUUUCCAUCAGACUUUGCGUGUUUAUGUGUGUGCGUGUGUGUCUGUAUAUGCCAGAACUGGGGUAGCACAUUAAUAUAAGGAUUCAAAAGAAUAAUUAAAGAUCUACCUGGACACAAAUCUGCCUGAGGGAGGACCUUUUAUGUUGUUUUGCAUUCUGUGUGCCACUCAAAAGGUUUGCAACUGGGAAAUGAUGUUGAACUAAAAUAAGACAAGAGCACAUUGAGGGAAAUUAUAUCCUGUCCAAUGAGUUGACACCCCCUUUAGACAGCUCACCACGGCGGCUCACUGCAGUCACCACUGGAGCACAUGGGGUGACAUUUAGACUGCACAGUAGCGCAGGGGGGAAAGUCAUGUCUGCCGAGCGGCCGAGUGCGGAGGGUGAGCCUAGGCAGGAGAACGCAGAGUGCCCUGGAACCGCCAACAUGUCUGUUCUUAGACCACGUGGACAGACGUUACAGCCGACUAGUCCCCUGCACCAACCCUUGGCAGACUCUGUUUAGAUCUGCCCCUGAUAGAGUUGAUUUCUCUUGCUGCUGACACCUUCCUCAUUCUUUUUACCUCCUUUUAAAAAUAUUUCUCUCUUCCAAGAAUUCGGUAGAUGGUCCCAAACCAAAGACGUUACAGAAGUCUUCCUGGAUCUCAGAUACCCACGUGGGAUGCGUCACUUUGAGUACGAUGACCAACUACUGCCAAUGAAACUGAAGAUUUUACAGUAUUCCGCCAGAAAGGUCUAUCAUGGGCAUAGAAGACCAGCCAUCAGCCUCUUGGGACUGCCUGACGGAUGGACACAAUGCUGACUGUCGUUUCCUACCCCAUCCUAGAGCCAAUCAAAAUGACACACGUAACUAAGGUUGAGUUUUCAGAUUUAAAUACAUUGGGAACACUGCAUGGGUUUGGGGGGUUGCUUUAUUUUGGGAGGUAGAAUCUUAUUGUUUUGAAUGUUACUGCUAAUUUUUAAAAAAGGUGUAUGAUGAAUUGUAUUGUCCACUCUUUUUGUUUGUCUCCCCACAAGAAGAAAGCUUUUGAACUGGAAGUGUGUUUCUGCUUCCCCUUGAGAUCAAAGUUUCAAGAUCCUAGAAAGUUCUCAAUAAAUGCCUGUGACAUGGAUGGAUGAAUCCACAGAUCAAUAAGUAGAUUGGCCCCAUACUGUUUCCUGUCUCCUGUGUACCUCCGGAACCGGUGCUUUUGACAAUCUGUGAGCUAUUCUCAAAGAGUAAUAAACAAAAAAAAUUGAGGAGGUGGGCUAAGAUUUAUAGCUGAACAUCCAAAGUGCAGGUAAAAAUGUGUGGGGCUUUCCAGAAGCCCCUGAGGGACCUAAGGCUGCCUUAGGUGGACGGCAUCAUAAGUGUGGAGCUAGACGAUUCGGGGAUAAAGCUCCGAUGGAUUGGCUGUGGUCACCUCACUUCCUAGUGACCAGAGGACCCAGAGUCCCUGCUAACUGUUCCACAGGAGAACAGAAAACUCUGAAUUUACCCUCCGUAUUGUUAGACCUUUGGGUGGAAUUUUGACUAGAACUCUGCCAGUUGAGAUAGCUGUUCGACUGUGGGGAGAAUGCAGCCCUGGAGUCCUCAUGGGGCUCAGCAGCAGCCCAGAGCCCACUUAACUCCAGCUGGGCUGUCAUGAAGACUGGAAGCCAUAGCGUAUCUUGGCAGUCGAGACUGCCUUGCACACCAAGAAGGAAAGGUGGCCCAGACUGCACUUCCAGCUCAUUUGGGAGGAUUAGGACAUCAAGGCCAGUUUAGAUCAUGUAGCAAGACCUUGCCUCAAAAUCAAAAAGCGAAAGGAGCUUUUCAACUAGGGAAGAAAGGAGGAUGCCUCUCCAAGGCCCCAGGGGACGUGUGCUGUUCUAGCUACAUCUACUUUUGUGAUUCACCAGCAGCUUGGAUGUGGCCCUAGUUCAAGAUCAGAGACAACAGGCUGCCUACUGGGUGUCUGUCUUCCCACUGCCAACUUUUCCAGUGACCCAUCUCUUCUACCUCCCUAGGGGCCUAGGGACUCCACAGAAACACUGCACAGAUCACAGGGGGCUGUUUGAAGCCACUCUGAACUUUUCCUCCUCAAGUAGAGACACAAGGAGAAUGGAUCAUGGAAGCCAGGCAUUUGCCUGGGUAGACAUUUUAUCCUACUGGUCGGCAAACAUCAUGGAUGUCAAAACCACCCAGUACCCGAGCCCUUGCCCCUCCACAACAGUAAGAGGGAGGUGUUACUCACUGGGGUAGGAGGGGAUUAGCUGCUCCUCUGUAAAAUAGGGAUGACUUGACUUUUUACCCACCUGACCAAGAACCGAAUACAAAAGCCUUCUGCUUGGACAUGCAGGCCCACUGGAGAGGGUGUGCUGCUAUCUUGCUGUGCCUUCUCUGGACACCUUCCCAGAUAAAUGGAUUCAUAGAAAAGGGCUGGAGGGUGGGGAAGAUCAGUGCAUUGGAUGGCUCUGACCCCAAACUUGCUUAGUGACCUCAGAGUGGUUACUUACCCUUUCCGAUCAUCAGUGUCUUUACACGGAAAACUACAGUGCCCACCUGCCUUGGUACAGCUGUAAGCAUCACCAACUCAAUUUGGUGAGUUGCAGGGUUUGCUUUGUUUUGUGUUUUUGUUGUUGUUUGUUUGUUUUAUGGAGGGGAUGUGGAAGACAUUUAUCAUUUAUGUCACAACUAACUUAUUUUCCCUCUUUUCCCAUGUCAGGUUAUCAAACACACAUAUACGAUAACCAAUCAUUGUCCAUGAUGAGAAAAAACAAACUAGGUGUCCUAUGAGACAGAUACCACUCUCACCCAGAACAGCAGUCAUCCCUGAAAAGCUCAGGGGCCUUCUUCCUUUUUCUU
rnacentral:sRNA from 1 species